UAAGAGUGAGAGGUCAGGCUCAGAGGUUGCUGCCAUUGCUUGUGGCACACCAAGCAGUGGUAAAAGCUGUAUGUAGUUGGAAACUGGUGGUGGGGAAAUGAUCAUGAAUAAAGAACAUGGGUGUUGCACCAGACUGAAAUGUUCCUGAUUUAUGGAGGAGAGGGGCCAAAUUUGGAGGGAGGCAAGAUGUACCCUGUUACAAUUAGGAACAAGGGAACAGAUUUCGACUGAAGUACAAUAUAGGAUGUUCCUCUCAGCAUCUCCCUGAGAUUGUACCGCCCUGAUCCCUACCUCGGAUAAAUCAGUCUACAGGAUGAAGGAUUUCUGGAAGUUGGGAUGGACCAAGACUGACUCUUGGGUCAGCUGUUCUUUUAAGGCCUGGAAGGCUGCCUCACGUUCCCUAGACUGCUGGACUUUGAGGUUAUGACUUCCUCGUUACGUCAGUCAAGGGAACUGCCAAAGUCACAAAAUCUGGUACAAAACACCGGUAAUAUCCAGACAAGGAAGAGACAAAAACAACCAAAAAGAAAAUUGGAUGCUCACCUGGAAAUGAACUGACUCAAGAUCUGACCAAAAAAAUCCACAUAGGAGACAUAGGAUGUCUUGUGUUUCAAACAAAAGGAUUUGGAGAAAGCUAUUCAGCAAGUGGUAAGGCAAGCGGAACACUCACGUGCAAUGUAUUCUCAAAACACACACUACAUUCCAAUUUUCAUGGCAUGAAAUCUUAUUUCUCCUCCAGACUCAAUGUUCUUCAAAUUUUCUAUAUGCGUGAUAUGUCAGUACUGAUCAGAGUAACAUAUCCCGCAUGUUACUCUGAUUGAUCUUACUAACAUGCUGUAUCUGAGCUUAGAUGUCCCAGCUAUUUGGAUGUUGCUGCCCAGCUCCACGUAUUUAAGGCAAUACAAUACACUUGGGUACCACGAGUCAAAAGUGCAAACCCUUACUCACUUUUUACUCAUUCUUUACCAAAGCAAAACUUUCAGACUUCAAGGUCACAUUUGCCUGAGUAAUGACUGAGUAAACAUGGAGUAAGGAGGGCCUCAAGAUUUGACUCAAAUGUAGGUAUGUUAAACAAAAGCACAAGACUAAACAGAAUAAUAAAUGGAAUAAGCCAAGGAAUUAUGGUGGUUUGCAAGUGGCUACGAGUAUCUUAUAUUUGUAACACUUGAAGGUCGCCUUCAUUGACAUUUGAUUGAUAUAAUUUUCCCUUUUCCCUAGUAAAGUAUUUUAACAGCUGUAGAAACAUGCACAACUAAUUUUAUGUUCUCUGAUCUACAGACACUACAGUAGCUGGUGACAUAUCACCUAUUAAGUACAUGGUUUUUAAAGGUAGCCUGACCUCUAGCACAAUGUGCUGUAUUUAAAUGUUAUGACCAGAUUGUACCUAAAAGGCACUGGCCCACAAUGGGUCCCUGGUUGUCCCAGGUGCACAAAGGAAACAAGAACACUGCACGCUCCAUCAGACAGAUAUAGUCUGCUCCACACUCUGCAGCUGGUUCUGCUGGCUGGUGCAAACAGGGAGGUGACUCUCCCACUCUUUCCUGGAGCUGGAGGUGGGUUGCUCUCCUGGAGGUGGUAGGACAAAGCAGUCCCUGCACUAGGAGGAGUGCAGAGACAGAUUGUGCUGCCCUUGGGGCCGGAGUUUCGAGUAAGGAAUCAAGCACUAUUUUGACCUUAAUUAACUAGAGCUCCAUUGUGCCACCCUUACACAGCAGGUCAAAUUCAACCCUGGCAUAACUUGGCAGAAUUAAAUAAAGCUAUGAUCACUGGCACCAGAGUGGAAGUUGGCCCAGAAGCUUUAUGUAUUACCUUAAUUAAAAGCAUGCUUUACACUUCUGCGAUUCUACUUCCAAAAACACAGGUACAGGUCCUGUAGACAUUUUACGCUUUUCCAAACCUUGAACUAUUUUGAGCCUCAGGAGAAGCAUUUACCCAGUCCUUCCUCCAGCUCAGGCAAAAGAAAGGGAGGAUCCACAGUUUCCCAGAUAUACACACAGGGUUUGUUUGUUUGUUUUAUUUCUGUUAAGAGUUUACUACAUUUUCAAGGACCAGGCACAUUGUUAAAGGCAGUGUUGUGUUCAUGUAACUUUUUGUCUUCAACUGAACUGUCUCCAGUAAUGUCAACUAUGUAUUCAUUGUAAUCAGCGACUGUGAAGGUUCUUGUGUGAUAUGUAUCAGGGAGACAGCUCACUCCAUACUACAUUCUAUCCCUGUCUCAACCAAGCUGCUGUACACUAUUAGGCAUUCUUGGCUCCAAAACUGCUUCCCUAAUAAUGUCAUUUGAAAGAGUGCUCAUUUUUUGUCUUUGCCUUGUUUUCAUUUAAAUAAAUCAUAGAGUUAGUGCCAUAAUUAACACAUUCUUCUUCCUGUGAUUAAAGCUGUCUGAAAUGAAAGGCAGGGCAUAGGAUACUGGGUUUUUUACGCUCCCUCCACUAUGAUGAAAUGGCAAGAGGAUUAAGUGUACGUUAACAAGGUAGACUCCACGGCUCCACAUGACAGAGGGUGCCCUGAAAUCCUUCCCACAGCAACAUGCUGGUACACCAGCUCUUCAGGAGCCCUCUGGCACUCUCCCUCAGCAGCAUCCUUCAUUCUGAAUUCUCCUGCAACCAUGCAUACUGGGAUAUGUUGCAUCCCACAGUGCACUGCACAAGAUGCUGCAAACAUUGCAAAUGGAGGCUGGAUGAAUGCAGGUGGGGCGGGAGGGAGGAAGUGAGUUGGUGUGACCAAGGGAAGGAGGGAGGAAAAGAAACAGAAGGAAACAGAUGGUUGGGGAAAUGAAGUGUUAGUAGGUCUGGAGGCAGAUAUAUAGGUGAGAAGAAAAAGUGGGGGAGAUACAUAGGAAGAGGCAAAGAUGUAGUAAAUGAGAAGGGAAUGACAACAAGGGGGAGGAGAAAAAAUGAAUGCACUAAAAUAAAGUAGCAGAAGGAAAAAGGAAGAGAGAAGGUAAAGAAAAAUCAAGAGAAGAAUGUUCAGAGUAGUGAAUUUUAUUAUAGAAUUCCAUGCUCUAGCUUAUAUUAUAUGAUGCCUCUCAAGGCCAGGAAUUAGAGAUUUUAAAAUAUAUUGUUGACCUUUUCUUUCAAUCUUUAGAUUUGGGGCACAUGGGGAAAAAGAGGUGUGCCAUAAUAUUCUUACCAGUUGCACUAAUAUACCUAUAAUUCAGCCCUCGAGUACAGCACACAAAUAAAUGGUUCAAAGUUUGCUGUGCUGGACUUGAUACAUUCCCACAGAAUGGAACGGUGGCUGAUAUACAAAUAUUUCCUCCUGGAGUGAUGCCAUGGAAAGGUUAACUACCGUGCACAUACCACCAGUAACAGUGAGUGCACGAGUUGCAACUAGUAUUUUUAAUACACUGCUGAACAUUUGCUUCCUGAUCACUGCAAGGCUGAAGUCACAUUCGGAGCACUAUUUGAAUAAGCCAAUUAACCAACUUGAAAAGAAAUAUCUUUUUCCUGAGGGAAAAGGAGUUUUAUUUCUAAUCUACAAAAAAGAUUUAAACAUGAAAAUAAAUGACUAUUCCAUUAUGGGAAAGAACGCAAGACCAUGAUUGACCGAGUGAACCCAUGUUUCUUUUGAUGCACCAUGCUACUUAGAAUACAUAACAGGGACAUGUGGCCCCAGUUCAGCAAAGCACAUGUAUAAAUUUAAGCACAGGUUUAAGUCCAGUGAAUGGGGUUUAGGCACAUACUUUAGUGUGUUGCUGAAUUGGGACAAUAAUGAGCAUUUUCCAUUGAGAGGACUUUAAAAAACACAAGGGACCAAAUUCAUUCCAGGUGUAAGCUGAUCUAGAUGUAUAUACAGUGUUGGACCAGUGUUUGCAGGAUCAGCCUACUUUACAGCAGACACUAAAGAUCAGCUCAGGAGAGAAGGGGUGUGUGUUAUGGGCAUAUGUUCUAGAAGAUGCCUGCAAUCUUGGACCGUCUUUGCUGAAUAUUGGUGUACUGAGGUUCAAAAAUGAACGAGCCAGUAGACAUUAAUGAAAGCUCUUUGUGAAAUCAAUCACAGCAAGCUGCAGAGUCUUGCAUAAAUUUCAAGAUAUCUUGUGCUCCUGUGCACUAAACAUAUUUUUAAGCCUUGGUCUAAGUAGUAUCAGUGUAAGUGAAAUCAACUCCGUUUGCUAGGAUGGCCUGUCACUUUCUAAUAAUAUUAAAGUAACCAUAUUAGUAAUCCUGCUUGAUAAACCUCUAAAUGAAAGUCUAAUUGGCAUUUGCUUGUUCUUUCUCUCAGUGUUCAUAUGGGAUAAAAUACAGUGAAAUCAAUACUAAAAUGAGAUUAUUUUUAAAGGGGAUUUUCUGUUGGCAGUAUUGCCUGUAAACAUUAACUCAUUAUUUAUCUAUCCCAAGGAAUGGUAUGCAUUGGAAGACAAUCGGUUUGCAAUGGAAUGUGACCUUGGCUAGUCUACAACAGUUAAAAAAUGCCAUCCCCCUGACGUU